rnacentral:rRNA from 1 species
UGGGGAAUAUUGCACAAUGGGCGCAAGCCUGAUGCAGCCAUGCCGCGUGUGUGAAGAAGGCCUUCGGGUUGUAAAGCACUUUCAGCGAGGAGGAAGGUGGUGAGCUUAAUACGCUCAUCAAUUGACGUUACUCGCAGAAGAAGCACCGGCUAACUCCGUGCCAGCAGCCGCGGUAAUACGGAGGGUGCAAGCGUUAAUCGGAAUUACUGGGCGUAAAGCGCACGCAGGCGGUUUGUUAAGUCAGAUGUGAAAUCCCCGGGCUCAACCUGGGAACUGCAUUUGAAACUGGCAAGCUAGAGUCUCGUAGAGGGGGGUAGAAUUCCAGGUGUAGCGGUGAAAUGCGUAGAGAUCUGGAGGAAUACCGGUGGCGAAAGGCGGCCCCCCUGGACGAAGACUAACGCUCAGGUGCGAAAAGCGUGGGGAGCAAAACAGGAUUAGAUACCCUGGUAGUCCACGCUGUAAAACGAUGUCGAUUUUGGAGGUUGUGCCCCUUGAGGCGUGGCUUCCGGAGCUAAACGCGUUAAAAUCGACCGCCUGGGGAGUACGGCCGCAAGGUUAAAAACUC